GCUAAUUGUUGUGGCCGUCGUGCCACCUGGAGAGGCUCCCGUCGGUCGGGGCCACACCCUGGAAGAACUCACCAGGCACCACCGGCCGCCGCCGCCGCCACGGUGUCGUCCUCGCAGCCUCACAGCGCGGCCAUCCAUCUCGGCGCUGCGACAAGGCGAGGACACGGCACGCCCGGGCACCAGCCUCACAGCGCGGCCCUCCAUCUCAGCUGGUGCAGUGGCAGUGCAGCAACUCGCCGGCAGAUUACGGCCGAUGGAAGCAGCCCGGCCCAUGGAGCUCUGCUUCGCCGCGCGCGCAGGCACGCUGACGCCGACGCCGGCCGGGAGGGCGCCAGCAAGGCUGAAGAAGCGGCGCGCCGGGGCCGGCACCACGGUGCGGUGCGCGGCGACGGCGCCGGCGCCGAUGGGGGAGAAGACGGAGUACCGCGACGGCCCGCUGGAGCGCGCGUUCAUGGGGCUGUUCGCGCGCAAGAUGGAGAAGUACGCUACCGGCGGCGGCGGCGGCAAGAAGAAGCAGCAGCAGCCGGCGGGGACGGGGAAGGAGAAGGCGGUGUGGGAGUGGGACUACGAGAGCUUCGUGGACGUGUCGCGGCGCGUGAUGGUGGGGCGGACGCGCGCGCAGCAGCAGGAGGCCGUGCGCGAGGUGCUCCUCUCCAUGCUGCCCCCCGGCGCGCCGGAGCAGUUCCGGAAGCUAUUCCCGCCGACGCGGUGGGCGUCCGAGUUCAACGCCGCGCUCACCGUGCCCUUCUUCCACUGGCUCGUCGGCCCCUCGGAGGUCAUCGAGGUGGAGGUCAACGGCGUCAAGCAGAAGAGCGGGGUGCUCAUCAAGAAAUGCAGGUACCUGGAGAACAGCGGGUGCGUCGGGAUGUGCGUCAACAUGUGCAAGAUUCCGACGCAGGACUUCUUCACCAACGAGUUUGGACUCCCCCUCACCAUGAAUCCAAAUUUUGAAGACAUGAGCUGCGAGAUGAUAUAUGGUCAGGUGCCACCUCCCUUGGAAGAGGAUCCAGCAUCCAAGCAACCUUGCUAUCCAAACCUCUGUUCCAUGUCCACGCCUUCUGCCCCAGUCUGCCCCAAACUUCAGUAGACGAGGAGCUCAUCGCUGAGUCGAGUUCAGCUUCAGCGCGCAUUCAGUUUUGUCAGGGCAACUUCAGAGAAACCGCAUGCAACUGAAGCUUCACAGUACAUAGUAACAGGUUUUCGGUACUGGGGAUGAAGAUGAGAUGAGAUGCUCUAAACUCGAAGAUGUGGUACCGGAUGUCCUCCUGUUGCACAUUUCAUCGAUCAGCUUGUCGUGUAUAUGAUUUGUUCUCUCAUUUGAUCAUGCAGACAUAUAUACGUACCAACACCAAAGUUGCAGCCAUCAGAACUAGUAAAUAUCCAACUCUAUUUUGCUGGCCUGAUACUAGCAUGUAUUGGGCAUCAGGGCAUGUGUACGUUCCGACUUGAGCAUGUACUAAUACUUGAUAAGGGCCAUACGGAUCACAUGACAA